rnacentral:rRNA from 1 species
GACGAACGCUGGCGGCGUGCUUAACACAUGCAAGUCGAACGGAAAGGCCCUGCUUUUGUGGGGUGCUCGAGUGGCGAACGGGUGAGUAACACGUGAGUAACCUGCCCUUGACUUUGGGAUAACUUCAGGAAACUGGGGCUAAUACCGGAUAGGAGCUCCUGCUGCAUGGUGGGGGUUGGAAAGUUUCGGCGGUUGGGGAUGGACUCGCGGCUUAUCAGCUUGUUGGUGGGGUAGUGGCUUACCCAGGCUUUGACGGGUAGCCGGCCUGGGAGGGUGACCGGCCACAUUGGGACUGAGAUACGGCCCAGACUCCUACGGGAGGCAGCAGUGGGGAGUAUUGCACAAUGGGCGGAAGCCUGAUGCAGCAACGCCGCGUGCGGGAUGACGGCCUUCGGGUUGUAAACCGCUUUCGCCUGUGACGAAGCGUGAGUGACGGUAAUGGGUAAAGAAGCACCGGCUAACUACGUG